CCACACAGCUGGAGAGAAGACACCCCGGAAACUGGACAGGGAGCAUGGAGAGGAAGCUGGGAGUUGUGCUGGGGAUUCUCUGUGUGCAGAUUUGCUGGGUGAGAGGAGUUGAGGUGGAGCAGAGUCCUUCAGCCCUGAGUCUCCACGAGGGAAAAAGUUCUACUCUGUCAUGCAAUUUUUCCACAUUCAUGACAAAUGUGCAGUGGUUCCGGCAGAAUUCCAGGGGCAGCAUCAUCAGUCUUUUCUACCUGGCUCCAGGAACAAAGGAGAAUGGGAGGUUAAAUUCAACAUUUGACUCCAAGGAGCGGAAGAGCACCCUUCACAUCAGAGAUGCCCAGCUGGAGGACUCUGGCACCUACCUCUGUGCUGCCUAUGCACAGUGCUCCCUGCAAGCCUGCAGCCUGUCUGCAAACUGA